UGCAGAAUCCCGUGAACCAUCGAGUUUUUGAACGCAAGUUGCGCCCGAGGCCUCUCGGUUGAGGGCACGUCUGCCUGGGUGUCACGCCAAAAGACACUCCCUUGCAAUCCUUGUGUGGGAUGUGGUGUUUGGCCUUCCAUUGUACCUAUAAUGUGUGGUAGGCUAAAGGAAGUGGCUGCUGGCUACGGUGCCAGUCACAGCACUUGGUGGAUGACACAUGUUGUUCUCGAAGUUGUGACUUGUGUACUGAAUUCAGUGACAUUGCCCCUUUGGACCCAUGGAUCGAGCAUUGAAUGCUUGCACCGCGACCCCAGGUCAGUCGGGAUUACCCGCUGAAUUUAAGCAUAUAAAUAAGCGGAGGAAGAGGAACUUACAAGGAUUCCCCUAGUAACGGCGAGCGAACCGGGAGUAGCCCAGCUUGAGAAUCGGGUGGGAUGAUCCCUGUCCGA
rnacentral:rRNA from 1 species